CCGCCCACAGCACACCCCCCAACCUCCCCCCACACACAAAAAAAAAAAGAGUAAAGAAAAAAGAUAUCUCUUUCUCAAGAUGCAGAGAUCACCGAGCAGUUCGAUAGUGACUGAAGAGUUGUUCAACAACACAAACACUGACAAAGACCACCAAGAACUCCCCACCUAUGAUCCAGCUUCUCACGUUGCAAAGAAGGAAAGGUCCCGUCUCAGAUCUGCUGAGAAUGCAAUCCAUGCCAUCCCUCUUGUUCUUGCUAUCUGUGCCAUCGUUCUCUGGUUCUUCUCCACCCCCCUAGAGUCAAGGACUUGAGAAUCAAUCACAUGCUCAAUGAAAUUAAGUUCAUGGGGCAGGUUGGUGCAGAAUUUGAGCUCAAGGAUUUCAAUCCAAUCCUAUUUACCUCUCAUCUAGCCAAAAGGCGAAUGCAUUUCUUGAGCAGAAGCAUUAUACUGAGCUCUUUUAACAUUAACACCAGUUUGUGAGUGAAAUGCAAAAACAACUCAAUUUUUUUCAUCGCAUCUUUACAUAUGCCUGUAUUAAUCUUAUGGUACACAGUUUUCUUUACAUGCAACUCAAUGCAUACAAUGUUUUUGGUUU